rnacentral:rRNA from 1 species
CAGCCGCCGCGGGAAUACGAAGGGGGCUAGCGUUGCUCGGAAUUACUGGGCGUAAAGGGCGCGUAGGCGGACAGUUCAGUCGGGGGUGAAAGCCCGGGGCUUAACCUCGGAAUUGCCUUCGAUACUGGCUGUCUUGAGUAUGAGAGAGGUGUGUGGAACUCCGAGUGUAGAGGUGAAAUUCGUAGAUAUUCGGAAGAACACCAGUGGCGAAGGCGACACACUGGCUCAUUACUGACGCUGAGGCGCGAAAGCGUGGGGAGCGAACAGGAUUAGAUACCCCCGUAGUCCCUGUCUCUUAUAC